rnacentral:lncRNA from 1 species
AGCAGUUUCUCGUCCCAGUGUUUUGUUCGUGAUGCCUUUUGCAUUCCUUUCUUCCUCUGUCCGGCUGCUCCUGCUGGUUGGGUUCCUAGGACCUCACACUUGGACUGCAGCCUCCUAAGGUUCUUGACCUUGUUGCACACCUGGGUGACGUUACAGGGCUUCACUCUCAACAGAUUCAGCCUCUCUGAGAUGGGAUGGAGGCAACAGAUGUUGCCUGCGUCUUAUGACAAGCUUCUGAGUGCCACCAAAGUUCCCCUCUGCCCUUAG